GGGGCUAUAGCUCAGCUGGGAGAGCGCCUGCUUUGCACGCAGGAGGUCUGCGGUUCGAUCCCGCAUGGCUCCACCA
rnacentral:tRNA from 2 species